rnacentral:rRNA from 1 species
GUGGGGAAUCUUGCGCAAUGGGCGAAAGCCUGACGCAGCCAUGCCGCGUGAAUGAUGAAGGUCUUAGGAUUGUAAAAUUCUUUCACCGGGGACGAUAAUGACGGUACCCGGAGAAGAAGCUCCGGCUAACUUCGUGCCAGCAGCCGCGGUAAUACGAAGGGGGCUAGCGUUGCUCGGAAUUACUGGGCGUAAAGGGCGCGUAGGCGGACAGCUUAGUCAGAGGUGAAAGCCCAGGGCUCAACCUUGGAAUUGCCUUUGAUACUGGCUGUCUUGAGUUUGGGAGAGGUGAGGGGAACUCCGAGUGUAGAGGUGAAAUUCGUAGAUAUUCGGAAGAACACCAGUGGCGAAGGCGACACACUGGCUCAUUACUGACGCUGAGGCGCGAAAGCGUGGGGAGCAAACAGGAUUAGAAACCCCAGUAGUCC